rnacentral:rRNA from 1 species
UACGUAGGGGGCUAGCGUUGUCCGGAAUCAUUGGGCGUAAAGAGCGCGUAGGCGGCCAGAUAAGUCCGGUGUGAAAGUCACAGGCUCAACCUGUGAAUGCCGCUGGAAACUGUCUGGCUAGAGUCCGGGAGGGGCGAGUGGAAUUCCCGGUGUAGUGGUGAAAUGCGUAGAUAUCGGGAGGAACACCAGUGGCGAAGGCGACUACCUGGCCUGUUCUUGACGCUGAGGAGCGAAAGCGUGGGGAGCGAACAGG